rnacentral:rRNA from 1 species
UACGUAGGGUGCAAGCGUUGUCCGGAAUUAUUGGGCGUAAAGAGCUCGUAGGCGGUCUGUUGCGUCGGCUGUGAAAACCCGAGGCUCAACCUCGGGCCUGCAGCCGAUACGGGCAGACUAGAGGUUCGGCAGGGGAGACUGGAAUUCCUGGUGUAGCGGUGAAAUGCGCAGAUAUCAGGAGGAACACCCGGUGGCGAAGGCGGCUCGCUGGACCGGUACUGACGCUGGAU